GUCUGAACUCACCAGAAGAUGCUUGCUCUGAAGAGUUUACAAUCUACUAACACACGCAGCCUUUGAAAAGAGGGACAGUGGGACACAACGAAGCAUAACAGAAGACAUGAGACGUGGAGGCAAAGUGAGCAGUUGCCAUUUUGGAUCAGUUUGGCCCUUGUGGAUGUUCCAUGCAACGUGGGAGAAUGUGCAAAGACUGGUGUGGGCUUGACUGGUGGCUUGUCAAAACUGUCAACGUUGGUGAGCAAGAGAGAUGUGAAAAGAAACAAGCACAGAUAAACACAUAUAGCCUUGUGGCUAGGACAAGAAAGUAGGAGUCAGAAUUCCUGGGAUAUACUCCUGCUACUGAGUGUCUGGGUACCCUUGGACAAGUCACUCUACCCUUCCAAACCUCAGCUUACCCAUAGAGAAAAACAGGUAUAACAAUAUUUGUGUGGGUAUUUAUUGGGUUAUCUCUCUCAGGACACCGUCAAUACCAGGUUGAGUAAUCAAGACCGCCGAAAAGAGAAAUAACCCACUUCCUUCCCUGACGAACCAAGGGACGCACCCCACCCACGUACUUUUUCACUACACUGAUACUGACUUGGACUCUUAAUACAUUCCAUGGGUGGCGUACCUGAGCCCACUUAUCCACUGAUGCUUUAAAAACCCCUGCACUCCAAUCUGGGUUUAUGCUGGUUAUGUGAUAUGUAUCUAUCUCGUGAUCCUUGUAACUGAUACCUGUAAUCCCUCAUAACUCAAGCCUGACCCCAGA